CAAUAACAGAUUUUUUUCUCAAAUCAUCUCAUUUUGAUUAUUUGAGCUGCGCGCUGAAUGAACAUCCGUAAAAUGAAGCGCUUUAAGUUAAUUAACUCAAAGGAACACAUCCUAUAUAGGGUAAUUCAUAUAUAUUUAUACAAGAUAGACAUAAAAUUACAACUUAUAUUUGCACAAAAUCAUGCACGCAUGUACUUGAACUAAGUAAUGUACCCAGCAAACACAGUACGUUGUGACGACGUCGUCAGUUAGUCGUCAUUUGGUCAGCGUGACAUUACUUUAUGACAAUGUUGUGAGGACGUCGUGGUAAUGUUCCAUUUUUUAGAAUCUUGGCUAACGUUCCAGAAACGUCGCGGGCACGUCCUCAAAAGACGUCGCUGGUUAAUACCACGGAGAACGUUGUAACGACGUGGUCCACAGGUCUCCUGAUAACUUUCCAGAUAUUGCAUUAAGCCAACAUUAUGUUUGUUAAUAUGGCAUUUGGAUAUUAUGAGUAAAUUUAAUUGAUUCACGCUUUUUAAACGAAUCGACAUAGUUUUAUUUAUAUUUGAGAUAUACCUAAUAGCCUACCUAUUCAUAAAAAUUUGCCAGCAAAACUACCUAACAUUUACUUAAUAAAUUGUGAUUAUUCAUAUGUUUGUGAACAAGAGGUUUACUGAAUGACAACGUUGUGAGGACGUCGUGGUAAAGUUAUUUUUUUUUUUAAGAAUCUUGGCUAACGUUCCAGAAACGUCGCGGGCACGUCCUCAAAAGACGUCGCUGGUUAAUCCCACGGAGAGCGUUGUAGCGACGUGGUCCAUUGGUCUCCUGAUAACUAAUAAUACAUAAUACAAUGGGAAUGUACAACAUGAAUACAUUUUCCAAACCGUGUUUUUGUUGUACCCUGAAUCAUUAUGGUACACCUAGAUAAGUGUUUAUAUUCGGACUAUUUUAGACCAGUCUGGUAGGAACCGCUGCGGAGUAGCACAAAUACCUGCGUGAUUCGUCAUAGACAUAAACAGAGAGAAGUAGCUCCGGCUACAAUGUUCUUCCGCAAGAUGCAUGCCGUUCUGUUUAACCGUUAGAGCGCCAAAAGUUAUGGACAUGUUUAUAUAUUAUAUGUUGUGUUUGUGAAUGAAGGAGAUUUAUUGGAUGGGGCACGCGCGAGACAAAUUCGAAAUUUUAAAUGAGCAAGUCUAACGGACUUUCGGAUAAUCUUGAGUACUGCGCAUGCGCAUCAUUUUGUUCUGUAACGGUCGACUUCCAGCAGACGGACACGGAGUAAAAGCAGCUGGAGGAGAGACAGCCUGUGCAGCAACAACAAGACAACAAUGAUUAUAAGCAGGGACAACCUCCAGGUGGACUGCACGGGUCCAGGAUCAAGAUAUCAUUCAUCAUGCAGACCAUGUUCCAGGAGAAGCAGCAUAUACUGGGUCUGCUUGAUCAUUUUGUUGUCCUGGAUGUGAGAACAUGGUCAAAAGGUGUGUCAAUCAGCAUCCAGCCAUAAAAGCAGCCUUCUCGUUAAAGGGCUCAGGAGGACAAACAGAAAGAUGUAUUUUUGAGGAGGCUGCAACAACGACUAAAGCCAGGGACACACUUAACGACUGUAAGGCCGAUUAUAAAUAAACUAAUAAACUGAUCUUGCCCAAACACGUCGAGUCAGAGCCAGUUGCGUUCAGUCUGUUCAUAAUCUGUAAGUAUUUAAAUCCACUUCAGUCGAAGGAAACAGUUUUUAAGUGUGUUGAUUUCAGUCUUAGAAUGUUUCUUCUAGUCGUUCAGUGUGUCCCCAGCUUGAAGUAAUCGUUAAAAUCUGCCAGAGGAGGAUGAUGAUGGCAGUGGUGACCGAGGUGACAGUGCAGCUCAGGAUGAAGAAGAGGAGGAACAUUUUGUAAAAAUCCAAAGUGAAUAUAUAGAGACCAUUCUCCUAUCCUUGCCUCAGAAGAACCUGAGAAAGACCCUCUUCCUCUUCUCUCACAGCUCUCCAUCAUCUACCUCUACAACACUGUUGGCAAGAGUGUUAUACACAGCUGAGGACACGGUAAUGAGAGAUCUCAAAUUCUUCCUCAAAGUCCACAUGUUCAUUUUCUUGAACAAAAACUGUACAUGUAUUUUUGGGUGGGCCAAACUAUUAUUUGAAGAAAUGCUAAAAAUCUCUAUAUUAUUCUUUAUACAUAUCUUACUCUUUAUGACUGUCAUCUUCUGGAUUUUUUUUUAGCUUUUGAGAAGCUCAAGGACUGUAUAUCUUUGGUAAUUGUGAUAUUGUCUGGCAGUAAAGCAGUAUUAAAGCACAUUACCUCAGUAUAUUUGUAGCAGCUGCCUCAUACAGGACACUUAGGAAAUGGUUUAAUAUAUAUUUUUUGCAAAUAAAGUCAUAAAAUAUCUGCUGAA